AUUGAACGCUGGCGGCAUGCUUUACACAUGCAAGUCGAACGGUAACAGGCCGCAAGGUGCUGACGAGUGGCGAACGGGGGCGUAAUGCAUCGGAACGUGCCCAGUCGUGGGGGAUAACUACUCGAAAGAGUAGCUAAUACCGCAUACGAUCUAUGGAUGAAAGCGGGGGACCGUAAGGCCUCGCGCGAUUGGAGCGGCCGAUGUCAGAUUAGGUAGUUGGUGGGGUAAAGGCUCACCAAGCCAACGAUCUGUAGCUGGUCUGAGAGGACGACCAGCCACACUGGGACUGAGACACGGCCCAGACUCCUACGGGAGGCAGCAGUGGGGAAUUUUGGACAAUGGGCGCAAGCCUGAUCCAGCAAUGCCGCGUGCAGGAAGAAGGCCUUCGGGUUGUAAACUGCUUUUGUACGGAACGAAACGGCUCUGGUUAAUACCCGGGGCUAAUGACGGUACCGUAAGAAUAAGCACCGGCUAACUACGUG
rnacentral:rRNA from 1 species